rnacentral:rRNA from 1 species
UACGUAGGGGGCAAGCGUUGUCCGGAAUCAUUGGGCGUAAAGAGCGUGUAGGCGGCCCGAUAAGUCCGCCGUGAAAGUCCAGGGCUCAACCCUGGAAUGCCGGUGGAAACUGUCGGGCUGGAGUCCGGAAGAGGCGAGUGGAAUUCCUGGUGUAGCGGUGAAAUGCGCAGAUAUCAGGAGGAACACCAUAGUGAAGGCAGCUCGCUGGGACGUACUGACA